UACGUAGGGUGCGAGCGUUAAUCGGAAUUACUGGGCGUAAAGCGUGCGCAGGCGGUUUUGUAAGUCUGUCGUGAAAUCCCCGGGCUCAACCUGGGAAUUGCGAUGGAGACUGCAAGGCUAGAAUCUGGCAGAGGGGGGUAGAAUUCCACGUGUAGCAGUGAAAUGCGUAGAGAUGUGGAGGAACACCGAUGGCGAAGGCAGCCCCCUGGGU
rnacentral:rRNA from 1 species